UACGGAGGGAGCUAGCGUUGUUCGGAAUUACUGGGCGUAAAGCGCACGUAGGCGGCUUUGUAAGUUAGAGGUGAAAGCCCGGGGCUCAACUCCGGAAUUGCCUUUAAGACUGCAUCGCUUGAAUCCGGGAGAGGUGAGUGGAAUUCCGAGUGUAGAGGUGAAAUUCGUAGAUAUUCGGAAGAACACCAGUGGCGAAGGCGGCCUGCUGGGCUGUUGCUGACGCUGAGGCGCGACAGCGUGGGGAGCAAACAGG
rnacentral:rRNA from 1 species